GUCCAGGGUAGCCUAGUGGUCAUGGCAUCUGCUCGGUAAGCGGAAGGUCGUGGGUUCGAUUCUCAUCCCUUGACA
rnacentral:tRNA from 1 species